AAGUCGUAACAAGGUUUCCGUAGGUGAACCUGCGGAAGGAUCAUUAUUACGUAUCCACGUAUCAACCCAAUCGUGAACUGUUUCCCGUUUGAUGAGGAUUUCUGCGACCAUUAGAAGCUCAUAAAAUGCAUGAUGAACUGUGGAGAGGCUUCGGCUUCAACGCAGUCCGAGCUGGUCGGUCCUGGAUCUGAGGGAAGCUUUCGAGUUUUCUUUCAGGUCUAGCUCAUCAAAAUGUGGUUUUUAUUUCUUCAUCAUGCGCAACUAUUAACCCCUUGUAACAAAAAUUGAACUAACGAAUGGCUACCCCAUAAAAAAGGGUGGUUAAAGACCGAAAUUAAGAAACAACUCUUAACAACGGAUAUCUUGGUUUUC
rnacentral:misc_RNA from 1 species